rnacentral:rRNA from 1 species
UCCAGACUCCUACGGGAGGCAGCAGUGAGGAAUAUUGGUCAAUGGGCGGGAGCCUGAACCAGCCAAGCCGCGUGAGGGAAGAAGGUACAGCGUAUCGUAAACCUCUUUUGUCAGGGAGCAAAGGGCGCCACGUGUGGCGCUUUGCGAGUACCUGAAGAAAAAGCAUCGGCUAACUCCGUGCCAGCAGCCGCGGUAAUACGGAGGAUGCGAGCGUUAUCCGGAUUUAUUGGGUUUAAAGGGUGCGCAGGCGGAAUGUCAAGUCAGCGGUAAAAUUUCGGGGCUCAACCCCGUCGUGCCGUUGAAACUGGCGUUCUUGAGUGAGCGAGAAGUAUGCGGAAUGCGUGGUGUAGCGGUGAAAUGCAUAGAUAUCACGCAGAACUCCGAUUGCGAAGGCAGCAUACCGGCGCUCAACUGACGCUCAUGCACGAAAGCGUGGGUAUCGAACAGGAUUAGAUACCCUUGUA